AUACUUACCUGGGAGGGGAAAUACUAUGAUCACAAAGGUGGUUUUCCCAGGGUGAGACAUAUCCUUUGCGUUCCGGAUGUGCUGACCCCUGCGAUUUCCCCAAAUGUGGGAAAGUCGACUGCAUAAUUUGUGGUAGUGGGGGACUGCAUUUGUGCUUUCCUCUG
rnacentral:snRNA from 1 species